GACGAACGCUGGCGGCGUGCUUAACACAUGCAAGUCGAGCGGAAAGUCCCUGGUUUUGUGGGGUGCCCGGGUGGUAACCGGGUGAGACACACGUGAGUAUCCUGACUUUGACAUUGGGAUUACUUCUGGUAACUGGGGCUAAUACCGGAUAGGAGCUCCUGCUGCAUGGUGGGGGUUGGAAAGUUUCGGCGGUUGGGGAUGGAAUCGCGGCUUAUCAGCUUGUUUGUGGGGUCGUGGCUUACCAAGGCAUGGACGGGUAGCCGGCCUGGGAGGGGGGCCGGCCCCAUCGGGACUGAGAUGCGGCCCAGACUCCUACGGGACGCAGCAGUGGGGAAGAGUGCACAAGGGGCGGAACCCAGAUGCAGCAACGCCGCGUGCGGGAAGACGGCCAUCGGGUUGUGAUCCACUUUCCCCUGUGACGAAGCGAGAGUGACGGUACUGGAUAAAGAAGCACCGGCUAACUACGUG
rnacentral:rRNA from 1 species